UGGGGAAUUUUGGACAAUGGGCGCAAGCCUGAUCCAGCAAUGCCGCGUGCAGGAUGAAGGCUUUCGGGUUGUAAACCGCUUUUGUCGGGGAAGAAGAGCCUUGGGUUAAUACCCUGGGGUGAUGACGGUACCCGAAGAAUAAGCACCGGCUAACUACGUGCCAGCAGCCGCGGUAAUACGUAGGGUGCAAGCGUUAAUCGGAAUUACUGGGCGUAAAGCGUGCGCAGGCGGUUAUAUAAGACAGAUGUGAAAUCCCCGGGCUCAACCUGGGACCUGCAUUUGUGACUGUAUAGCUAGAGUACGGUAGAGGGGGAUGGAAUUCCGCGUGUAGCAGUGAAAUGCGUAGAUAUGCGGAGGAACACCGAUGGCGAAGGCAAUCCCCUGGACCUGUACUGACGCUCAUGCACGAAAGCGUGGGGAGCAAACA
rnacentral:rRNA from 1 species